rnacentral:rRNA from 1 species
GAAGAAAAGACUUAUUUUUCCAUAGAACAAUCUUAUUCUUUAGUAAAAUCAAGAUCAUUUUCUAGCGUUAAUGAGCCCAAAACCAAAGGGUUUUCUGGGCAACAAACAAAUAAUAAGAUUUUGGAAUAA